rnacentral:rRNA from 1 species
CAGCAGCCGCGGGAAUACGAAGGGGGCUAGCGUUGCUCGGAAUUACUGGGCGUAAAGGGAGCGUAGGCGGACUGUUUAGUCAGAGGUGAAGGCCCAGGGCUCAACCGUGGAAUUGCCUUUGAUACUGGCAGUCUUGAGUACGGAAGAGGUAUGUGGAACUCCGAGUGUAGAGGUGAAAUUCGUAGAUAUUCGGAAGAACACCAGUGGCGAAGGCGACAUACUGGUCCGUUACUGACGCUGAGGCUCGAAAGCGUGGGGAGCAAACAGGAUUAGAUACCCGAGUAGUCCCUGUCUCUUAUAC